UACUAGUGGAAGCGCUAAAUAGUAGAUGCCUGCAUGGAUCUUUGUGUAUCCCUAUGGAGAAGUGGUCAAACGGACUGGUUCAAUUCUUGGGCAUUGAGUAGGAGCACGAGCAGCAAUGGAUUUGGGUGAUUCUCCAAGUUCUGAAAUGAAGUUGUUAACAAAUAAAUUUGUUGUUAGCGGACUCUGAAACACCCCCUCAUGUAUUUCCUUCUGUAUUGCCAACCACGUAGUCUACAGGGUCACUGCCAUCCUUAUAAACGCUUCAUGAGACAUUAGCUCUAUCACCGUGAAACAUCUAAUGCUUCGCACUAGGCUCGGUCAUUGAUAUCAUAUGUUCUGCAAGAUCUUCGUCAACCAACGCCCAAAUGCAACGACACAUCUAGCAAUCAAUUAAUGAGAGGCUCCAAGAAACCAUCGCUCCAUAAAGUCCGCAAGCACUGGUCUCGGCGACAUACUCAUGUGACAUCGAACGGCAUUUGUAUGAAGCGAAUUGUUGGCUAGGCGGCAUAGAAACAUUUUUAUCUUGCCCGGGACUUGUGUCUUCCACAGUGAUUUCCAUGAUGAAUUGAUGAUUCAUGCUGCCGUAAAUUAGAAGAUCCCACAGUUUCAUUCAUCCAAGUUUCUUUUCUAAACCUGAUUGCUACCAUUCAUUUCUUUGACAAGCAUUUUCUGACAAAAAAAAAACACAUGCUAGAAUUUUUUUUAGACAAAAAUACAUGCUAGGUGAACUCUCGAAACUCCAUGUGACGUGAGUUUUUUUUUUGAGGGGUUCAUGUGACGUGAGGUAUUCCACAUGUCACGUACUGGGCCUGGCCUAUUUACGCGAGCGAUCCCUCGCCUCCAAAAGAUAGUCCUGACCAGGAAGAAAGAAAGUUUCUCUCUUUUCCCAUCGCGUCGCCGGGAGGAAAUCUCCAAAACCCUAGCCGAUGCCGCGCGGACGUAGCCGACGCCCUCCCCCUCCACCACCAGAAUCAGAUGCAUCACCCCUUCCCGUGCCCUCCCCUCCCCCACCAGCUACAGCGUCGCCAUCAGCUGCAUCGUCCAGGUCCUCGGCCACCUCCCCUCCACCACCGGCCGCUGCAGUCUCGACAGGCCGCUCCCCUCCACCACCAGCCGCAGCCUGCACAAGCCGAUCUUCUCCCCCACUCUGGACUCCACUGCCUGCUGCAGCCUCCACAAGCCGAUCCCCUACAGUCGGCCACAGCCUCCACCCUGUGAGGACACUGAGCAGGCAGUGCGUAUUGAGGCCCCACCAUCGCCAAACCACUUUCCACCUGUUUCGGCAUUGAUGCCAAAAGGAUUACUAAUUAAGUAUUUUCUGAGGGUUGAUACUGGUGGACUCUUCAACACAUAUCCUCAUCGAGGUGGUCCAUUUAAGAGCUUACAAGAAGCUCAGGAUGCUAUAGACUCCUAUCACAUUAAUCUGUGUAAAUUCAAGUAAAUCUUCUCUCAACUUUGUUUCUAUUUGUAAGUGUUGGAAAAUGCUCAUAUUUAUAUGCUAUGUCCUAUGCUAGCACCUUAUAUGCAAGUAUAUUUCUCUUUA